UCCUCUUCUCCAUCUCUCGUGCUCUUCUGCAACUAGAAUCUGUGAUGCAAUGCGAUCCUGUGAUUUAUGCGAUGUGUUUCGAAUCAAUGCAAGUGUCUGUGCUUGGCUCGUGAAAAUGAUUUGUUUGAUGGUUUGCCAACCCACCCGUGAGGUAUUUUUGUUUCUAAAUUCACGGAAAAGUUGUUGGUUGUAGGUACAUACGUCAGGUUAGAUUUAGUGGAAUCGUAUUAGAUCAAGUUGGUCACCUUCUUAGGAGAAAACUCAACGGCAAAUUAACAUCUCUGUUCAGUUGACUGUACUCAUGCAGUAGUGGAGCACAGGAGCUGGAAGAUAAACAUGUGGGAGCUAGAGUGAUAGGAAUGCAGCACUCAUUUUUUUUGGGAAUAGAACGCACUCAAUUUAGUAUUUUAUUUGUUAGAAUUGAAGUGGUAAAAGCCAUGCGGCAUUAUGAAUGUUUCGAGACAAAAUGAGGGUCUGCCCAUGAUUCAUUCUGAGACUGACUGAACCAUGAAGCUGCCUUUUGUUUAGAAAAAGUCGAGAAAAGGGUACACUUGAGAUUUUUUCACUGAGCUAUCUGGGUUAGGAUAUUCUCAAAUGGCAACUUUUGUAGUGGCAAACUGGCAAGUGGCAACUGGCAAAUCCUUGAUUCCCCUCUUUGAUAACUUCGUGCAAGCCAAAAGGAAGAGGAAAGGAACACCUGAGAACAAUAGGCAUGGGAGGUAUUGGGAAAACACAGGAACAUAUUGUGACCCCUAAUUUUAAAGGGAAAUAAUGGUUGAGGCUUUCCUCCAUGUUCCCAUGCCUAAUGCUCUUAGGUGCUCUUUUUCUUCCUCUUCCCAAUUUGCCUUCAAGACCUCAUCAUCUAUACUACUGCCAAGCAGAUUAUAUGAGCCAAAGGGAAGAGGAAGGAGUACCUAAGGACAAUAGGCUUGGGAGGCAUCGGGAAAACAUCAAAACAAGUCGACCCCGCUAUUUUAGAGGGACAGAAGAGUUUGAGCUUUCCUCCAUGUUCCCAUGCCCACUGCUCUUAGGUGCUCUAUUCUUCCUCUUCCUGACCCACUCUCUCAAUCUCAUCAUCCAAACCUAAACAUUAAUAUAUUUUUCUCAACUAAAAUAUCUCUAUGAGCUGAAAGGAAGAGGAAGGAGCACCUAAGAACGAUAGGAAUGGGAGGCAUCGGGAAAAAUACUGAGACAAAUAUCCACCUCCACUUCCAGAAGUGAACACUGAGAGCUCAUUUUUCCUCUAUGUUCCCAUUCCCACUGCUCUUAGACUACCUCUUUCUUCCUCUUCCUCGCUCAUCCCAAAGACCUAAGGCUCCAAAAGUUUCAGAUUGAGAACAUGAUCUGUUGAUGAUGCUUGCUGUGUUGAAGUAUAUAUAGACAGUAAGUGAAACACCAUGCGUAUAUACUGUACAUGAGGCAAUAAGUAUGCACACAUCAUAGCAAACCAUAACACACAACAGUCAGUGACAGUGGGCCACAGAUCAUCUAUUGCUAAUGUAGACCUCAUGCAAUGGAGGCAUCGGUGUACAUCUUCUGCUUAUGCUCAUGUAAAAAAGCUGACAUGGUAGUCCUUGAUUUUGAGCCUUGCAAGGUUGGUCAUUAAAUCUGAGCCAUGCAUUUACAGAAGGAAGAAAGGAACUUGUACCAUGAAUUCAUUCUGAUUAUUUGAGAAUGAUAGUUAGGUGGAUGAAGAAAUAAUAGUGCAUAUGUGGAGGAUCACCGGAACCAAGCAAAUAAUUUCUCACAAUUAAAGAUGAUCUGCCCAACAUAUGAUCCUAGCCAUUUGCUCAUGAACAUUACAAUGUCCACAUAAGCAAAGCACACAUCACACAUCAUGUAAGCGUGAGCUCCAUUGGCUGAUGGGUCCACGCAGGGCAUGGAACAAAACUAAAAAUUAUCAUAUAGUAGUAUUUGGUUUUACUAAAGGAGAAACUAUCAUGAACUCUUGAUUAACACAAUCCCUUUGAAGACCAGAACUCUGCCACAUUAGUUUUAUGGUCAUUAGUACAUAAGUCAAUGUAUGCACCGAACAGCACAAAAGUACCAGUUUCAGCUGUGUGGUACCUAAUGCAGAAUCUAGUAUUUCCAGGACAGACUUGAUUCCUAUUGACUUGGCAGAGUGAGAAAUUUUGAGAAACAACGGAUAUUUAGCUCAACUUCUGCUUAACCAAUGUAUAUAACAAAUGAUAAAAGUAUUUGUGAGUCUAAGCAAAGAGUAAUAAAAGCAACUGAUUCCACUACCAUCUGUUCAUUUGAGGCAAAAUAUAUUUAGAGAGCUGCGAAAUUGUUUUGUCACUAUUAUUGUGCUGCCUCUUGCUAUUCUAUGUGCAUUUGCAUUUCUUUGCUAUUCCCCAUUUGUUAUCUCAUUGAGCAUAGGAACAGCUGAAGUCAUCUAAAUCAUGUUGCAUGCUAAAUUGCUAGGUAAUUCUACAAAUGAUCUUGAGUGUUCAUUAGAUGUCCCAUUCUCUCUUUCUCUCUUUUCUGUCCACUCUAGUGUCCACGCAUCAGUGUCAGCUCAAAUUAUCUUGCUCAUAGCAUUCUGGGUUUCAAUUUUUCUAAUUUAUGUAAUAUCAACAAAAGCAAAUCUGAUUGAACUAUAUUUUAAAUCUCAAGUGCUAACUACAUAUAUAUCCAGCUUUAAAGUUGUUUGCAUAGUGCAUUGUAUUUUUGUUAGUUUGUUCCAACUCUUAUUUAGAGCCGAUGUAUCAACCUUCUCGUUGCAAGUUUUUUCCCCUAACAUGGAAAAGUUUUGCAUGUAAUUUCAUUCGGAUGGUUCCAAGUUACCGCCGUAAUUUUUCAGUAAUCCUAAACGUGCAUUCAUCUGUGAGUUUGUAACAGAGUUCACACUUGCACACUGCAGUUGUAUCAAGUGAGCAGUGUGUACUGUGUAGGCAUCGGUACAAUGGUGAACCUUUUUAUUGCCGAUGUACAUACUGCAGCUUUCAGAAAUAACCCAUCUGAAAUCUUCAUCUAAAACAUUAGAAAUCGUUAACUAGCAAAAGUAUUCCUCUUUUUCUUCAUAAAAGUACACUAUAUAAUUUCAUUAACAUUUGAAUACUGGCCAGGUCACUAGAGUUUUAUAAAUCACAUAACUUUCUUACUGUGAUGGGACUUCAGUACUGAUUCCUUACUAGGUAAAAUCCACCAACUCUAGAAAAAAUACAGUGUGAAACACAGGCUGAACCAAGAUUCAGAAACCAUCUCUACAUAUGCAUGCUUUACAUGGCGAGAAAAAUAAAAACACUCUCAAGAAAUUGAGCAAGCCAACAGGAAGUGGAAGGAGUGCCUAAGAACUGUAGGCAUGGGAGGCAUUGGGAAAAACACACAGCAAAUUUCAACCUCUAACUUUAGAGGGGAAGAAAACUAUAUAUGUUUUUUCCUCCAUGUUCCCAUGCCUGCUGCUCUUAGACUCUCUUUUCUUCCUCUUCCUGACUCACUGUCAAGGCCCAAAGCCCCAAAUCCUCAUUAUCUAGACACAUGAAUAUGUUUGGAUAUUUUUCACUCCCUCCACUAAAAUAUUGUGCGAACCAAAAGGAAGAGGAAGGAGCAUCUGAGAACAAUAGGCAUGGGAGGCAUCAGGAAAACAAGGAAACCAAAUCUCAGCCCCUAGUUCUAGAGGCGAAGAAGAGUUUGGGCUUUCCUCCAUGUUCCCAUGCCCACCGCUCUCAGACCCUCUUUUCUUCCUCUUCCUGAUCCACUUCCAAUGACUCAUCAUCUAAACCUAUGCAUUGGCACUUCUGUUUUUCUCCCUUAAAAUAGUAGCAUGAGCUAAAAGGAAGAGGAAGGAGUACCUAAGAUUGGUAGGAAUAGGAGGCAUCGGGAAAACUGAGCAAAUCUCUAGCUCCAAUACUGGAGCAGAAAAUUUAGCUUUAGGCUUUCCUCCAUGUUCCUAUUCCCAUCACUCUUAGAGUCUCUCUUUCUUCCUCUUCCCUGCUCACUUUCAAGCCAAAGAACUACACAACUUUAACAAUAAGACUCAGAGCUGUUGAAAAAUGGCUAGUAUCGUGUGAUAUAUAUAAGGGUCUAGUGAAGUCCUCUAGACUGCACAGAAGCCCUGUGAGCAAAUCAAUGAACAAACCUAGUGCAUGGUGCACCAUAGCACACAGAGGUCAAUGACAGUGGGCCACAUAAACUUACUGUUAAGGUAGGACAUCUAUGGAUGUGAAUUAGACAAUGUUAUUUCUAUGCAUAUAUAAAAGGUCUGCUAGACUGUAACCUUGGGCCUUGCAUUUACUGAAAGGGUAAGAAAGGGACACUCACAUUCUUAUUAAGAACGUGAGAAGGGAGGGUGCAGGAAAAGAUGGUACUUCACAUAUGUCAUGAACCUAAUCUCUGGUUCUUGUGCAUAGAGAGACACUACAAACUUCCUGAGGCAGUCAAAUAGUGAAUAUCAAGUGUUAAUGACUUGAAAUUUUAACUUGAGUAAUAACAAAACAGUACAAGGAAUUAAUACUGCUACGAUCCUAUAGAAACUAUAAUGUGUGAAAGCGUGCAUUAUGUAUUUUUACCCUAUGGAGCAAGAGGUCCAACAAAUAUUAUGUUCACUAACAACAGGAAAACAAUAUGGUACAAAUAGAUAUAUAGCACCUUGAUUUUUCAUACUGAGAGAACAUCAGGAGACAGUUAACAUAAUAUAAUCCUAGUAAAAGCACACUCAGGACAUGCUUAAUUCGAAAUAAACAGGAUGAAUGAGGGAUCUUGAAGAGCACCAGGUAGCUUAGUUUGGUCUAAACUUUACCAGAAUGUCGAAGAGAUUGUGGGUGAUCCCAGAUAUCUUGUACAUAAGUCUUCAGCUAUGCAUCAAGUAAUUAGAAUGCAAGAAGAACAUGGAAAUGAAGGAAUCUUGAAUAUCAUCAUUUCGCCUCUGCAAAGUUUCAGAGAUAUUAAUGAUUGUCCCCCUUUUGUUUUCUCUGCGGAAACAAUUGAGCAAGUCAAAAGGAAGAGGAAGGAGUGAUUAAGAAUAAUAGGAAUGGGAGGCAUUGGGAAACACUCAGCCAAAUUUCCACCUCUAUUGUCAGAGAUGGAAACUAAAGGUUUAGGUUUCCUCCAUGUUCCCAUUCCAACCAUUCUUAGACCCUCUUUCUUCCUCUUCCCGACUCACUGCCAAGGCAUCUAAAUGUGGACAUGGAUACAUUUUGUUUUCUCUAGUAAAUUGGUGUUAGCUGAAAGUAAGAGGAACGAGCACCUAAGAACUAUAGGAAUGGGAGGCAUCAGGAAAAUCAUCAGACCAAAUCUCCAAUACCAGAGGUUAGAGCUUAAUUUGGCUUUCCUUCAUGUUCCCAUUCCUACUGCUCUUAGAGUCUCUCUUCCUCUUCCUGGCUCACCCUCUUUUUGGCACACAGCUACAAGAAACAGAAGCUUGAACAUUUUCUUCAGAGUACUAGAGUAUAUAUAGACCUAUGCAGUGCAGGGCUGUGAAGGAUAAAUGAAUUGAAUCUGGUAGAUGGUGCACAAUAGGACACUGAAGUGAAUGAUCACAUAUAUUGGCCAAGAAACAUGUACAAGUCACUGUACAACAUCUGCAGGGAUGUGAUCUUCUGGGUACAUCAGAAAGCUGAUUGACAUAAUGAAGAGUAAGCAGAGAACAGUGCAGACACUUGGGAUCUUUUGAGAGUAAGAAUUCAGAGUGGAGAAAGAGUCAAUGUGAAUCUGAAUUUAAAGUGGAUCCUGUGGACUGGAUUCUGAUGAAUAAACAUGGUUGAUGUCAAUGAGCAGACGAUUGGAUCAGCUUGGACUGAACACGUACUAUUUUCUGACUGCAAGUCCAAGGAGAGUAACAACUCUUCAGCCAUGCGCAACGGCAUCAAAUAACUCGAAUGCAGGAAGAACAAGGAAAUGAAGAAAUCGUGAAGGGCAUCAUGCAACCUCUGCAAAGUUUAAGAGAUAUUAAUAAACUCAAAUAUUCUUGUUUCAAUUUUGGUGAGAGGCGUAUAUAUAGGUACUACCUUUCUGUUCGGACUAAGUUACAAUGUGCAAAUAGAUGCUAAUUUAUGUACUUGUCCAUUUGGUUGAUGUUAUGUUCCAUAUGAGAUCUCAAUAGUGACAGUUCAUUUUGCAUAUCGUAGCUGCUAAGUGCUGAUAUAUAUAAAUGAUGUACAGUUUGCAAUGUUA